rnacentral:rRNA from 1 species
AUUGAACGCUGGCGGUAGGCUUAACACAUGCAAGUCGAGCGGGGAUAGGGUUCUUGCACCUGAUUCCUAGCGGCGGACGGGUGAGUAAUGCUUAGGAAUCUGCCUAUUAGUGGGGGACAACGUUCCGAAAGGGACGCUAAUACCGCAUACGUCCUACGGGAGAAAGCAGGGGAUCUUCGGACCUUGCGCUAAUAGAUGAGCCUAAGUCGGAUUAGCCAGUUGGUGGGGUAAAGGCCUACCAAGGCGACGAUCUGUAGCGGGUCUGAGAGGAUGAUCCGCCACACUGGGACUGAGACACGGCCCAGAUGCCUACGGGAGGCAGCAGUGGGGAAUAUUGGACAAUGGGGGCAACCCUGAUCCAGCCAUGCCGCGUGUGUGAAGAAGGCCUUUUGGUUGUAAAGCACUUUAAGCGAGGAGGAGGCUUACCUGGUUAAUACCUGGGAUAAGUGGACGUUACUCGCAGAAUAAGCACCGGCUAACUCUGUGCCAGCCGCCGCAGUAAUAC